UACGUAGGGUGCGAGCGUUAAUCGGAAUUACUGGGCGUAAAGGGUGCGCAGGCGGUCCUGCAAGUCAGGCGUGAAAUCCCCGGGCUUAACCUGGGAAUGGCACUUGAAAUUACGGGACUGGAGUAUGGCAGAGGGAGGUGGAAUUCCACGUGUAGCGGUGAAAUGCGUAGAUAUCAGGAGGAAUACCGGUGGCGAAAGCGACUCUCUGGACGGCAACUGACGCUGAGGCACGAAAGCGUGGGGAGCAAACAGG
rnacentral:rRNA from 1 species